GGAGUUAGCCGGUGCUUCUUCUGUGAGUGAUGUCCUUCCUGCCGGUUAUUGACCCGCAGGCCUUCUUCCUCACUGAAAGUGCUUUACAACCCGAAGGCCUUCUUCACACACGCGGCAUGGCUGGAUCAGGGUUGCCCCCAUUGUCCAAUAUUCCCCACUGCUGCCUCCCGUAGGAGUCUGGUCCGUGUCUCAGUCCCAGUGUGGCUGAUCAUCCUCUCAGACCAGCUACGGAUCGUCGCCUUGGUGAGCCGUUACCUCACCAACCAGCUAAUCCGACAUAGGCUCAUCCGAUAGCGCGAGGCCCGAAGGUCCCCCGCUUUCCCCCGUACGGGCGUAUGCGGUAUUAGCCUGGGUUUCCCCACGGUUAUCCCCCACUACCGGGCAGAUUCCUAUGCAUUACUCACCCGUCCGCCGCUCGCCACCAGGGAGCAAGCUCCCCGUGCUGCCGCUCGACUUGCAUGUGUUAGGCCUGCCGCCAGCGUUCAAUCUGAGCCAGGAUCAAACUCUGA
rnacentral:rRNA from 1 species